UACGGAGGGUGCAAGCGUUUAUCCGGAUUUACUGGGUUUAAAGGGUGCGUAGGUGGGUCUGUAAGUCAGUGGUGAAAUCUUCAAGCUUAACUUGGAAACUGCCAUUGAUACUAUAGGUCUUGAAUUAUCUGGAGGUAAGCGGAAUAUGUCAUGUAGCGGUGAAAUGCUUAGAUAUGACAUAGAACACCAAUUGCGAAGGCAGCUUACUACGGAUCGAUUGACACUGAGGCACGAAAGCGUGGGGAUCAAACAGG
rnacentral:rRNA from 1 species